rnacentral:rRNA from 1 species
CCUACGGGUGGCAGCAGUGAGGAAUAUUGGUCAAUGGUCGGGAGACUGAACCAGCCAAGCCGCGUGAGGGAUGAAGGUACAGAGUAUCGUAAACCUCUUUUGUCAGGGAACAAAGGCGUGGACGCGUCCCCGGAUGAGUGUACCUGAAGAAAAAGCAUCGGCUAACUCCGUGCCAGCAGCCGCGGUAAAACGGAGGAUGCGAGCGUUAUCGGGUUUUUUGGGGUUUAAAGGGUGCGCAGGCGGUCUGUUCAGUCAGCGGUCAAGGCCCGGGGCUAAACCCGGGCCCGCCGUUGAAACUGGCAGUCUCGAGUUGGAGAGAAGUAUGCGGAAUGCGCGGUGUAGCGGUGAAAUGCAUAGAUAUCGCGCAGAACUCCGAUUGCGAAGGCAGCAUGCCGGCUCCACACUGACGCUGAGGCACGAAAGCGUGGGUAUCGAACAGGAUUAGAUACCCCAGUAGUC